rnacentral:rRNA from 1 species
AUUGAACGCUGGCGGCGUGCUUAACACAUGCAAGUCGUGCGGUAACAGGCGUAGCAAUACGUGCUGACGAGCGGCGAACGGGUGCGUAAUACAUGGGAAUCUGCCCUUUAGUGGGGAAUAACCCGGCGAAAGCCGGGCUAAUGCCGCAUAAGAUCUUCGGAUGAAAGCGGGGGAGUCGUAAGACCUCGCGCUGAUGGAGUGAGCCCACUGCCGGAUUAGCUAGUUGGUGAGGUAACGGCUCACCAAGGCGACGAUCCGUAGCUGGUCUGAGAGGACGGCCAGCCACACUGGGACUGAGACACGGCCC